rnacentral:rRNA from 1 species
UGCGCAGGCGGUUGUGUAAGACAGGUGUGAAAUCCCCGGGCUUAACCUGGGAAUUGCAUUUGUGACUGCGCGACUAGAGUGUGUCAGAGGGGGGUGGAAUUCCACGUGUAGCAGUGAAAUGCGUAGAUAUGUGGAGGAACACCAAUGGCGAAGGCAGCCCCCUGGGAUAACACUGACGCUCAUGCACGAAAGCGUGGGGAGCAAACA